ACGUUGACUCACUUGUGCAUCAUUUCCAUAUAUAGUUAGUUAGCGUUAAAUUAAUCAGGAAUUUUGUGUAAAUCUGACUUGCCUUUCUCGUCCCGCUCGGAUAACUUUAGUCAACGUUUGGGAUGGGUGUAAUUUGGACAAAUUCAGAUAGAUCCUUCUCGACUUUGUUCCGUUUGUGUUUUGCAACAUAAUUGGCGUAAUCUGUUGCAGUUUCUGAUCUCAGGCUAACAUCCUCCUGUCCUCGGCUGGAUUUCCCAAAAACAUCAUAGUACUAAAAUAAUCUUAAUUCCAUUGAAAUUAAAUGAACGAAAGAUGAUUGCAGUGCUACGAUGCUUUUGGGAUAACAAGCUCUGGUCUGGGCAUCAUUUCUGCCACCUGCAGGAGGAGGUUGAAGCUGCACGAUCAAGUUAAACUGAAAUUCUUUCUCUCUGUCACCCAUGCAGUGCUCUUCUCCUCACCUGCCCCCAACAACUGUACCAACAGCCAACAUGCCCCGUUUCCUACUGUCGAAGCCAAGAGAAGACCAUCAUGACGACAGAAGAGGUUCACCUACAGGUACUGCUGUCUCCCUUGGCCUCCCAGGUGUCCCAUCCAGAGAACAUGGAAGAUUAUUUAUUUAUUUAACGAAAGGACGCACUCCGCUCUGCCACCAAGGCAUUCAGCUGGAAACGAUUCAACCUCAGAGGUUCAAUGUGAGGGGUCAGUCGACCAACAUGGUCAAACACAGGAGUUCCUUCAGCUGUUGAUGGCAGCCAUCCGAGACUGUUGUUUGUUCCAGGGGCCAGACUACUGCAAAAGCCUAAUAUUGGACUAGUAUUGUAAGAUCGCACUGUUUAUAUGUUCAAAUAUGUUCAAAUAUGACACUUUCUAUCUAGUCCUAGAACUCUGUCCUGUUGUAUCACUUUCAGUGUAGUCCUAGCAGAGUGAACUAUAAGGUCCUAUAUGCUAUAUUACUACAUAGAUAGGUGGCCUCUUAUGCGCUGUCCAUAGUAACCCCCCCCAAAAAUGAAUUAAUAUGGUGGUAUUAACUUGUACCAUGUUUUAGCGUGGGAUAAUGUACAGGCUGGUAGAGAACAUGAUCAGUGUCUGAGUGGUGAUAUGUGGCCCCACUUCCUGUCCAGGAGAACGUUUGACAUGAUCUGUGGUCUUCCGUCUGCUCCUGUGGCCCUGGACGAGAUUACAAAUCAGGAAAUACGAGCCAGGCUGGAGAAGGCACGUGACAUGUUCACGUGUUCUUUGCCGUAUAUAUUGGUUUGUGUAUGUAGCCUGAGCCCUGGGCUUGUACUCACAUAGCUUCUCAGACCAGGAGUGUUGAUCUAGGACCAGGUCCUUCCUGUACAUACAGGCAACUGCAAAAAUAAAGGAAACGCCAAUAAUAAGUGUCUUAAUAGGGCGUUGG